GGGCCAGGCCGCAGGCUACACAUGCAAGUCGAACGGUAACAGGAAGCAGCUUGCUGCUUCGCUGACGAGUGGCGGACGGGUGAGUAAUGUCUGGGAAACUGCCUGAUGGAGGGGGAUAACUACUGGAAACGGUAGCUAAUACCGCAUAACGUCGCAAGACCAAAGAGGGGGACCUUCGGGCCUCUUGCCAUCGGAUGUGCCCAGAUGGGAUUAGCUAGUAGGUGGGGUAACGGCUCACCUAGGCGACGAUCCCUAGCUGGUCUGAGAGGAUGACCAGCCACACUGGAACUGAGACACGGUCCAGACUCCUACGGGAGGCAGCAGUGGGGAAUAUUGCACAAUGGGCGCAAGCCUGAUGCAGCCAUGCCGCGUGUAUGAAGAAGGCCUUCGGGUUGUAAAGUACUUUCAGCGGGGAGGAAGGCGAUAAGGUUAAUAACCUUGUCGAUUGACGUUACCCGCAGAAGAAGCACCGGCUAACUCUGUGCAGCAGCCGCAA
rnacentral:rRNA from 1 species